UCCCUGGUGGCUCAGAUGGUAAAGCAUCUGCCUGUGAUGCAGGAGACUCGGGUUCAAUCCCUGGGUUGGGAA
rnacentral:tRNA from 1 species